rnacentral:rRNA from 1 species
UAGGGAAUUUUCGUUCAAUGGGCGCAAGCCUGAACGAGCGAUGCCGCGUGAGUGAAGAAGGCCUUCGGUCGUAAAGCUCUGUUGCGGGGGAAAAAAGGCAGCAUCAGGAAAUGGGUGCUGACUGAUGGU